rnacentral:piRNA from 1 species
UAACCUGUAGUAGAAGGUGACUUCAGGUUC